rnacentral:rRNA from 1 species
ACAUCGCCUCUUGAUAAAAUAUAAGAGGUCCAGCCUGCCCAGUGACAAAAUUUAACGGCCGCGGUACCCUGACCGUGCGAAGGUAGCAUAAUCACUUGUUCUUUAAAUAGGGACUAGUAUCAACGGCAUCACGAGGGUUACACUGUCUCCUUUCUCCAAUCAGUGAAACUGAUCUUCCCGUGAAGAAGCGGGAAUACACCCAUAAGACGAGAAGACCCCAUGGAGCUUUAAAUUUCACAGCAACUCAGUCACAUAAAUCCUUAUAAUUAACAGAGCUAUGCAUGCCAAUUUUAGGUUGGGGUGACCGCGGAGUAUAAGACAACCUCCACAUCGAAAAGAACUAAAUCUUUAUUUAAGAGCUACAACUCUAAAAAUUAGUAUACUAACGAAUAAUGAUCCGAUAAUCGAUCAACGGACCAAGUUACCCUGGGGAUAACAGCGCAAUCUACUUCAAGAGCCCAUAUCGACAAGUAGGCUUACGACCUCGAUGUUGGAUCAGGGUAUCCUAGUGGUGCAGCCGCUACUAAUGGUUCGUUUGUUCAACGAUUAAAACCCUACGUGAU